GAUGAACGCUGGCGGCGUGCCUAAUACAUGCAAGUCGAGCGAACAGAUGAGGAGCUUGCUCCUCUGACGUUAGCGGCGGACGGGUGAGUAACACGUGGAUAACCUACCUAUAAGACUGGGAUAACUUCGGGAAACCGGAGCUAAUACCGGAUAAUAUAUUGAACCGCAUGGUUCAAUAGUGAAAGACGGUUUUGCUGUCACUUAUAGAUGGAUCCGCGCCGCAUUAGCUAGUUGGUAAGGUAACGGCUUACCAAGGCAACGAUGCGUAGCCGACCUGAGGGGUGAUCGGCCACACUGGAACUGAGACACGGUCCAGACUCCUACGGGAGGCAGCAGUAGGGAAUCUUCCGCAAUGGGCGAAAGCCUGACGGAGCAACGCCGCGUGAGUGAUGAAGGUCUUCGGAUCGUAAAACUCUGUUAUUAGGGAAGAACAAAUGUGUAAGUAACUAUGCACGUCUUGACGGUACCUAAUCAGAAAGCCACGGCUAACUACGUG
rnacentral:rRNA from 1 species